rnacentral:rRNA from 1 species
UGGGGAAUAUUGGACAAUGGGCGCAAGCCUGAUCCAGCCAUGCCGCGUGAGUGAUGAAGGCCUUAGGGUUGUAAAGCUCUUUUAGCAGGGACGAUAAUGACGGUACCUGCAGAAAAAGCCCCGGCCAACUUCGUGCCAGCAGCCGCGGUAAUACGAAGGGGGCUAGCGUUGCUCGGAAUCACUGGGCGUAAAGCGCACGUAGGUGGGUCGUUAAGUCAGGGGUGAAAUCCCGGAGCUCAACUCCGGAACUGCCUUUGAUACUGGCGACCUUCGAGUCCGGGAGAGGUGAGUGGAAUUGCGAGUGUAGAGGUGAAAUUCGUAGAUAUUCGCAAGAACACCAGUGGCGAAGGCGGCUCACUGGCCCGGUACUGACACUGAGGUGCGAAAGCGUGGGGAGCAAACAGG